rnacentral:rRNA from 1 species
UGGGGAAUAUUGCACAAUGGGCGCAAGCCUGAUGCAGCCAUGCCGCGUGUAUGAAGAAGGCCUUCGGGUUGUAAAGUACUUUCAGCGGGGAUGAAGGGAGUAAAGUUAAUACCUUUGCUCAUUGACGUUACCCGCAGAAGAAGCACCGGCUAACUCCGUGCCAGCAGCCGCGGUAAUACGGAGGGUGCAAGCGGUAAUCGGAAUUACUGGGCGUAAAGCGCACGCAGGCGGUUUGUUAAGUCAGAUGUGAAAUCCCCGGGCUCAACCUGGGAACUGCAUCUGAUACUGGCAAGCUUGAGUCUCGUAGAGGGGGGUAGAAUUCCAGGUGUAGCGGUGAAAUGCGUAGAGAUCUGGAGGAAUACCGGUGGCGAAGGCGGCCCCCUGGACGAAGACUGACGCUCAGGUGCGAAAGCGUGGGGAGCAAACA